rnacentral:rRNA from 1 species
AUGUUUAUUUCUACAGAUGAGGAGCCAUGCAGCCUUGAUUGGGAGACAUGUUACAAAAUAAUUAAGGGAGUGUGUGAGGGUUUAAAUUAUCUUCAUAAUGGACAUAAAGAUUCUAUUUACCAUCUAGACUUAAAGCCUGCAAAUGUAUUGCUGGACAACAACCUGAUGCCGAAAAUUGGAGAUUUUGGUAUAUCAAGAAUCUUCCCUUCAAGAAAAACCAGUACCACCGCAACAAGGUUUAUGGGGACAAUGUGA